UCGGGAAUUUUGGGCAAUGGGCGAAAGCCUGACCCAGCAACGCCGCGUGAAGGAUGAAGUAUUUCGGUAUGUAAACUUCGAAAGAAUAGGAAGAAUAAAUGACGGUACUAUUUGUAAGGUCCGGCUAACUACGUGCCAGCAGCCGCGGUAAUACGUAGGGACCAAGCGUUGUUCGGAUUUACUGGGCGUAAAGGGCGCGUAGGCGGCGUGGUAAGUCACUUGUGAAAUCUCCGAGCUUAACUCGGAACGGUCAAGUGAUACUGCUGUGCUAGAGUACAGAAGGGGCAAUCGGAAUUCUUGGUGUAGCGGUGAAAUGCGUAGAUAUCAAGAGGAACACCUGAGGUGAAGACGGGUUGCUGGGCUGAUACUGACGCUGAGGCGCGAAAGCUAGGGUAGCAAACGGGAUUAGAUACCCACGUAGUCCCUGAGCGGGCUGGCAAGGCGCAU
rnacentral:rRNA from 1 species